UCUAAAUUGUGAAAUGACUUCUUUUGUAAAUUGAUUUCAUUUUCUCUAUUUCAAAGAUUUGUAGAGCCCAUUUCAGUGGUAUAUUGAGUUGCAUUGCACACCCUUGACCCCUCACUCCCAACUCUGAUGUUAGUUUAUGAUUGGGUCGGAGUCGAGUGAGUGGUAGUCUUAAUUAUGCUCCUUUUUAGUAGAGUAUUGGGAGGGUGCAUUAUGGCAUUUAUGCAUGGCUUGGCAGUAUCUGCAGGACACCUAUAGUCGAUGGGGUUGAACAUCGGCCUUUGUGCACAUAGUAGCCUUCUGGGUGGGCGGAGCCCAGUCCCUUCCUAGGGAGGACACGGCCCUAGGCGUAGGAUUGGCCAGUCCUACGACUUAUAUUCUGCUUGCCGCCGAGCAUAGUAAGACCCCGCGAGGUGCAGUAUGGCUUUCCGCGGAUAUAGAAUUCCCGCGAGGUGCCGUUUAGUAUAUAGAUGUGAGAUGGAUUUCUGUUCUGGAUACUGGCC
rnacentral:lncRNA from 1 species